rnacentral:rRNA from 1 species
AUGCCUACGGGACGCAGCAGUAGGGAAUUUUCGUCAAUGGGCGCAAGCCUGAACGAGCGAUGCCGCGUGAGUGAAGAAGGCCUUCGGUUCGUAAAGCUCUUUUGCGGGGGAAAAAAGGCAUCAUCAGGAAAUGGGUGCUGACUGAUGGUGCCCCGCCAGAAAGUCACGGCUAACUACGUGCCAGCAGCCGCGGUAAUACGUAGGUGGCGACCGUUAUCCGGAAUGAUUGGGCGUAAAGGGUGCGCAGUCGUUCCUUCAAGUCUCGAGGUAAACGCAU